AAACCGUGGUGUGGAAAACAUCUCAAUAAGUCCUUGUACCUUCCUAGGCAUCAUACAUGCUCUCGUCUUCCAUCUACAUAAAAGAAGAAAUGUCAUUCCUCAAUUU
rnacentral:snoRNA from 1 species